rnacentral:lncRNA from 1 species
AUAUACUGGAAGAAGUUUGAGAACCAGUAUCACUUCUCUUGCCAGUUCACAGCUGAUUUAAUUGCAAUGAACCAUGCGGACUUCAUCAUCACGAGUACCUUCCAAGAGAUUGCUGGAAGGUUGCUGUUCAUGCCGAUAGUGUCUUAAUGCACUAAUUUUUCGUUCAUAUUAAGAUGCAAAAAAUGCUACCGUUACCUGACUGGUUUCUUUUUAUGUUCUUCUGUUAUUUCAGCAAGGAUACUGUGGGACAGUAUGAAUCUCACACUGCCUUCACUCUUCCUGGGCUCUACCGCGUCGUGCAUGGGAUUGAUGUCUUUGAUCCAAAAUUCAAUAUCGUAUCCCCUGGAGCUGACAUGUCCAUCUACUUCCCGGCCACAGAGCAGCACAAGAGGCUCACCUCCCUCCAUCCAGAGAUCGAGGAGUUGCUUUACAGUUCUGUCGAGAAUUCUGACCACAAGUGAGAGCGUGUCUGCAUUACCUGCAUGUCUUUCCGUAUGUUAUUGUUCAAUUUAGUUAUUGACUCUUGAGGUUCUUGCAGGUUUGUUUUGAAGGACAGAAACAAACCCGUUAUAUUCUCCAUGGCAAGGCUGGACCGAGUGAAGAACAUUACCGGUCUAGUUGAGUUGUACGGCAGGAAUCCUCGUCUGAGGGAAUUGGUUAACCUUGUAGUGGUGGCUGGAGACCAUGGAAAAGAAUCCAAAGAUCUUGAAGAGCAAGCAGAGAUGAAGAAGAUGUACAGUCUCAUCGAACAGUACAAAUUGGCUGGUCACAUCCGAUGGAUCUCUGCUCAGAUGAACCGUGUUCGCAAUGGUGAGCUCUAUCGGUACAUUUGUGAUACCAAGGGAGCUUUCGUGCAGGUAUUCUUCAUCUUCUUAAAAGUAAAAAAAGAACAUGAUUGAUUUGUUCGCAUUUGAUAUAAUAUUUCUCACUCUUUCUCUGUUUUCUUUUGUUUAGCCCGCCUUCUAUGAAGCUUUUGGGCUCACUGUUGUUGAAUCCAUGACAUGUGGACUGCCCACAUUUGCGACUUGCUAUGGAGGGCCUGCCGAGAUCAUAGUGCAUGGGGUGUCUGGCUUCCACAUUGAUCCUUAUCAGGGGGACAAAGCAUCUGAACUGCUCGUAGAUUUCUUCGAGAAGUGCAAGGAAGACCCGAACCACUGGAACAAAAUCUCGCUAGGAGGGUUGCAGCGUAUUGAAGAGAAGUAAACAUGAUAUUUUCUUCGAACAACACUCUUUCAUGAAUUGAAGGAGCUUGUAUGGAAGAUUCAAGACUUAAAAUCUUUUUAUUUUGUGCUCUUCUUGGAAUUAAUGCAGGUACACUUGGAAGCUCUAUUCCGAGAGGUUGAUGACCUUAUCCGGUGUUUAUGGCUUCUGGAAGUACGUCUCAAACCUGGAUAGGCGUGAGACCCGUCGUUACCUCGAGAUGUUCUAUGCCCUCAAGUACCGUAACUUGGUAAGUCAGAUUCAUUGAUGGGUCUACUUGUUGCUUGAGAGACCUGAUGCGUUUCCUUCUCACCGCUGGUCUGCUUUGUUUCAAUGUCUAAUUUCAGGCAAAGUCUGUUCCUCUGCAUGUUGAUGGAGAUAUUGCAGCCAAUGGCACUAAGUAGUCUGGAUGGGAGGCAAGCACGAGUUCUGUUGUCAGCUUUUUUUGAUUUAAGAGAUUUAGGAGUAACUUUGCUUUCUGAGUUCUUGUUUGCGCCAUUGUUGCUUAGAGCUGAUUUUGGAGCAAUUUGAGAGUGUUUGCUGUUGCUUUUUAAUUUCCAUGUUAUGUAAGGCUUAACUGCCUUUUGUUAUUUAAUAAAAUAAGUAAUAUUUUCUUUCUCAAAAAUUUGAAAAAUUGGAUAAAAAAGUAUGCUACUCAACUUUUGAUGCAUCAUGAGUAUUGUGCAUGGUGACAAGAAUUUCUAGUCUCUGUACAAUUGGGACAACAUUUUGUGAUGCUUGGUUCAUGUCCAAGUUAUGUCGUUUCCGAUUGAUUAGCUGGUGGAAGGUUUGCAGUGGUGUAGGUUGCAUCGUACCUUAGAGAGAAAUGGAGUAUGCAAAAAAAAUUACCAGUUUCUAGAGGUACUCUAGGGAAGUGAAAGGCCAUCUUUUCUUUUUACUAGAUGUUAGAAUCUUCUGGGGUAUUGCCUGUUGGAUUUUGUCUGCAAUAUUUUGCAAUUAGCCAUGCGCGCCCCACCUCGCCCCGCUGGAAAAAAAAAAGAGAAUCUUUCUUGCUUUUAAGAAAGUUGCUCCACCGUUCAACUUCCUCUGUGAUUUGUCUUGCUUGACUUCAUUGGCAUCAAAGCAUAGUAUCUUUUCUCCUUUUCUUUUCCCUCCCAAUUCUGUAAAGACUGCUUAAAUAUCAUAUCUCAUGGACACAAAGUUUAGAAUGCUUUUGGGAAAUAGAUGAGAAAAUUGUGCAGUAAGUGUUGCUUUUGCACUUGGGUCAAACGUCUACAACGCCUGAACUGAUCACGUUGGUGGCACCAAGUGCAUUUUUUCUUUCUGAAAAUUCUUUUCAAGUUUCUGUAAAUAAUUAGGAGUAAACUGAUUCUUCUCUUUAUAUGUUUCCUUGGCAUGGUGUAAAACAAAGCUGCCUGUUAUGGUAAACUAGUUUGUUCUGUUCUCUAUUAUAUAGAUUUCCUUAUGAGAGUUUUUGGCGAUACUUCCAUGUUUAACUUGAUUCAGUCCAUUGUAGGUUGGGUUGGAUUGCCAGUUUAAUAAAAUGGUGAGAUUUGUGUCCAAAUAUUUGACCCAUUUAAUAGACAAGUCAGGUUCGGAAUAACAAAUUUUUGAUCUAACCUGUAUCUGACCUGACCCAUAUCUCGCCCGACCCGAUCCAGUUAUCACCUAAAAUAUCCAUCAUAACUCAGGACGUCAUCCAAAAAGGCUAGUCAUAAUAUAUUAUUUGGAUUUUUUAGUUCUGUAUAAGUAUUCAAGAUCUAUCCAGAUGUAGGACUAAACACAUGUCCACACAAAUUCGCACAUAUUCUUCUGGUUCAAGUCCUGGCGUCCUUCUCAAUUAACAGUCUAAAUUAAUUCAAUUCUAAUCACAAGCACCACAAUACAAUAUAGAUAUGUGCUGCAGUUUCUUCUAGUCUACAUAGGCUAUGGCCAGGAUUUACUCUGAUACCAUUUGUCAUAACUCAUGACCUUACUUAAAAAGCUAGCCAGUAUAUUAUUCGAAUUUUUUGGUCCUGUUUAAGUACCAAAGAUCUACCUAGUGCAUAGCCGAUUUGGGACUAAACACAUGCCCCUCACAAUAUCAGUCUUUCUUUUAUCUGAGGUUACUGUUCUCGGCUUUCCUACAUGACCACCCUUUUCUCAUUAGAUAAGCAUACAAUCUCUCUGAUUUUCUCUAUUAUCCUAUGGAGAAAAUAGUUUAAAGAACUUCAGUUUUGUUUUUUAUGUCCUUGAAUCCUUUUCCAAUAGCUUCGAAGACUCCAGAGAACUUUAGCUUUUAGUCUGGAAGCAUUCACUUCCCUGCCUAAUGUAUCAUAACCAUUUAGCGUUGGAGAAAGAGCUCUGUGUUCAGAAAAGUCGACACCUGCCACCCCCUUUUUCCCCACCGACUGGUUUUUUCUGUAACCAACUUCUCAGUAUUGAUAUUGACUCAGAAAAACGUUACCUCUUAGAAAUUAAUGAGUAACGCACAUAUUGAUGGUUGUUUUAAGUUUCAGUUCUUUUCAACUGAUGCACUGUCGCUUGUCAGUUCUAGCAGAGAAGAAACUAAAAAAAAUGUUGUUAACAAAUUUGUAGUUCCCUUGAUUGUAUCUCUAUAUAUAGGUACUCUUCUCAGUUUUGACUGUCACACUCUCAUCCACCUCUAUUCUCUAAGAUCUGCAACUUCUCUGCUUGUAGGAUCUUAAGCUCUAGGUGAGCAGACUCUGAAGUUUUUUCUCUGAAAAUUUUCCUUUUAAUUUGUUUAAAUCCUUGGCUUUGUUUGAUUCUUGAUUAUUUUGGGUUGCUCUUAUCUAAUUCCUAAGAUAAUCAUCUAAUUUACAGAAGUCGUCUUUUAUCUGUUUAUCAUCUAUUAUCUGAUUAUUUAUUUGCAUGGAUAAUGGUCAAAUUUUAAAUUUGCUGUGUUUGAUGCUUUCACGUCAAAAAUCUAGUGCAAGGGGCGUGUGAUUCAGGAGAGAGUUUUGGGUGAUUUUUUGCAUGGUAAAUUUCAUUCAGUGGUUUCUAAAAUGUUCAGUUGCUCUCUUCUUUUUUGUUUUCAUUGAAGUCUGAGGCUUUUUGAGGCUUGAAGGAGGAAAGAAGAGAAGCCAUGGCCAACUUUGCAUUGAAUCAAAUCUACAGUGUUCGGGAGCUCCUUGGUGAUUCUCUUUCUGCCCAUCCAAAUGAACUGGUUGCCCUUUUCUCAAGGUUUUGACUCUGUUUCUGUAAUGUAACUCUUGUGAAAAUUUUCAGAUAGAAACUGAUCCUUUAAUAACUUGUUUCAAGCUAUAUGGAUUAGAACUAGCCUUCUUUGAUUGGUACAUUGGUUGUUCUUGUUACGAUACCAAGCACCUUUGACUCAUAGUCCAGUUCUCUUUUUCCACAUGAAGAAUGCAAUUGAUCAUUUAUAGCCUGGACUGCCCUUCUCGUUUAGUUAUAACCUUCUUGAUUACUCAAUUUCAUCAAUAGGUUUUUUUUUUUUUCCACACAGGUUUUGUUGCACCAAGCACUGUAUGUGAUUUGAUUCAUAUAUCAUGAGCAUUGAUGACGAAAGAUAUCUUUUUUUUUUAUAUAAAUUUAUUCACAGGCUUGUUAGCCAGGGAAAGGGAGUGCUGCAAUCCCAUCAGUUGUUAGCUGAGUAUGAAGCUGUAAUACUUGAAGCAGAUAGAGAAAAGCUGAAGGAGGGGUUCUUUGAGGAUGUUCUACAACAUGCACAGGUUCUGUACAGUGAAGACCUGCGCCAUGUUAUGUUCUAACUUCCAAGUUGUUGAUAGUUCCAUGGUGCAUUGGUUUGUGAUACAGGAAGCAAUUGUGAUACCUCCGUGGGUUGCUCUUGCUAUUCGCCUGAGGCCUGGAGUCUGGGAGUAUGUACGGGUUAUUGUGAGUGAGCUUGCUGUGGAAGAGUUGAGUGUGCCAGAGUACUUGAAGUUCAAGGAAGAACUUGUGGAUGGAAGGUAGGUCAUAUUGUUCUAACAUUAUCAUGUUCCUUGUUCACUCUGUCACAUAUAGCCAAGUAGCCUCUCUCUCUCUCUCUCUCUCUAUACAUCUCUCGUAGGGUAAAGUUACUCUUUCCUUUUCUUCCUUUUCAGUACGACCNNNNNNNNNNNNNNNNNNNNUCCUCUCUCUCUCUCUCUCUCUAUACAUCUCUCUGGGAAAGUUACUCUUCCUUUUCUCCUUUUCAGUAGCCAAAGUAGCUUCACCCUGGAGUUGGACUUCGAACCCUUCAAUGCUUCUUUUCCUCGUCCCUCAUUGUUGAAAUCCAUCGGCAAUGGAGUGCAGUUCCUUAAUCGUCAUCUUUCCUCAAAGUUGUUCCAAGACAAAGAAAGCAUGUAUCCACUGCUGAAUUUCCUCAGGGCAUGUAACUAUAAAGGGAUGGUAAAUUUUUCACUAUAACUGCAUGAUUCAUUCAUCUAUGAUAUCUUAUUUUCCUAAAAUAGAAUGAACAAAUCUCUCCUCUUUGAUUUUUUUAAAUUUUUUAAAAAUUUUAAAAUAGAAUGACAUAAUCUUCCUCUUUUAGCAGUUCUUUUGUCCUUAUAACACUUUGGAACCAAAAUGAAAAGACAUGCAAUAUGAUGUGUGAGUGGUGAAGUAACAUGGCGACAUUACUCAUAACAAUGCAUAUUUAAUGGGAUCAGGAUAUCAAGAAUCUCAUCCAAUCCAAAACUAUUUAGGCAAAUCAACUGGAAAAGAAACAAAUCCACAUAUAGACGACAGUUAUUUAUUUCCAGGAAGUAUUAGGUGAAAUUGCCAUAAAUAGAUAGUUUGCAUUUCCAAUCAAAGAUAAUCAUGGUGUUAAUAUGUUAGUGAUAGGUCAAAUGUUAGCAAACCUUUUUAUCAAUAAACAGGAGCAAAUCAGCACUUCAGUUUCCUGUUUACCACUUUCUUUCUAAGACUAUGUUAUAUAAGUUGUUAGAGUUGUUAAUACUUCAGUUUAUUUCUGACUAGUAGUAAUGUUAUUCUUGUUAUGUUAUGCAGUCGAUGAUGCUGAAUGAUAGAAUUGGCAGCCUCAGUGCUCUCCAAGUUGCACUAAGGAAGGCAGAGGAAUAUCUGUUGAGUGUCCCUUCGGAAACUCCAUCCUCAGAAUUCAACCACAGGUAAAUUCUGUGGUGUCGAUUUCGGAGUUAUUGAUGAAACUGAUGUCAGCCAAAGAUUUCUUAUACAGCACAAAGUUUGUUAAGUUGUUCAACUGCUUACAUUGUUUCCCACUUGUAUGAUGUUAGAUUUCAAGAGCUUGGCUUAGACCAGGGCUGGGGUGACACAGCUCAGCGUUGUCAUGACACUAUUCAUCUCCUCCUAGAUCUUCUGGAGGCACCUGAUCCAUGUACCUUGGAAAACUUCCUUGCUAUGGUUCCUAUGGUGUUUAAUGUUGUCAUUCUUUCUCCUCAUGGCUACUUUGCCCAAGCUAAUGUUUUGGGGUAUCCUGACACAGGUGGCCAGGUAUAAUUCUAAAAUAAAAUUGUUUUAGAAACAUAUUACAGGAUUCACAGCUCACUUCUUUGACAUACUAUUCUGUAAAUUUGCAUUUGCAGAUUGUUUAUAUUUUGGAUCAAGUUCGUGCUUUGGAGAAUGAGAUGCUACAAAGAAUACAAACGCAAGGUCUUGAUAUUGUACCUCGCAUUCUCAUUGUAAGUUCAAUUUGAUGUCUCAUGGUUUUCAUAUACUGUUAAUUGGUUAUUUGUAGUCUAUAGAAAUUAUGAAGAAUAUCAUGGUGUCAAUUUAGUUGCAAACUUGCAAUAUGAAAGUCUCCACAUUUGUAAUGGUCUUCUCCUGAGACUAUCCUGUGAUCUAAUGCAGGUGACCAGACUGCUACCUGAUGCAGUAGGCACCACUUGUGGUCAGCGUCUUGAGAAGGUCCUUGGGACGGAGCACACUUUCAUCCUUCGUGUUCCAUUUAGAACGGAAAAUGGAAUUAUCCGAAAAUGGAUCUCACGUUUUGAAGUAUGGCCUUACCUGGAGACCUAUGCUGAGGUACAUCUUUCAUUAAGCUUCCUCUCUGCACUUGCUUCCCAUUCAAUACCUUUAUGAAAGAAAAUUUAUAUCGUUUUCCUUUGCGCUGUAGGAUGUUGCACAUGAACUAACAGGAGAAUUGCAAGCCAAGCCAGACCUGAUAAUUGGAAACUACAGUGAUGGAAACCUAGUAGCUUCUUUAUUGGCGCAUAAACUGGGAGUUACUCAGGUUUUGAUACUAGAACAUCGUUGACCCUUGGCUCUACUUAAUAGUGGUUAUUUUUUCAUCUGAAUUUAAUAACCUUUGUUCUUCCACAUGCAGUGCACCAUCGCCCAUGCCCUGGAGAAAACAAAGUAUCCAAAUUCAGAUAUAUACUGGAAGAAGUUUGAGAACCAGUAUCACUUCUCUUGCCAGUUCACAGCUGAUUUAAUUGCAAUGAACCAUGCGGACUUCAUCAUCACGAGUACCUUCCAAGAGAUUGCUGGAAGGUUACUGUUCAUGCCAUUAGUGUUUUAAUGCACUAAUUUUUCGUUCAUAUUAAGAUGAAAAAAAUACUGCUGUGACCCGACUGGUUUCUUUUUAUGUUCUUCUGUUAUUUCAGCAAGGAUACUGUGGGACAGUAUGAAUCUCACACUGCCUUCACUCUUCCUGGGCUCUACCGUGUCGUGCAUGGGAUUGAUGUCUUUGAUCCAAAAUUCAAUAUUGUAUCCCCUGGAGCUGACAUGUCCAUCUACUUCCCGUCCACAGAGCAGUACAAAAGGCUCAC